rnacentral:rRNA from 1 species
GACGAACGCUGGCGGCGUGCUUAACACAUGCAAGUCGAACGGAAAGGCCCUGCUUUUGUGGGGUGCUCGAGUGGCGAACGGGUGAGUAACACGUGAGUAACCUGCCCUUGACUUUGGGAUAACUUCAGGAAACUGGGGCUAAUACCGGAUAGGAGCUCCUGCUGCAUGGUGGGGGUUGGAAAGUUUCGGCGGUUGGGGAUGGACUCGCGGCUUAUCAGCUUGUUGGUGGGGUAGUGGCUUACCAAGGCUUUGACGGGUAGCCGGCCUGAGAGGGUUGCCGGCGACAUUGGGACUGAGAUACGGAGCAGACUCGAACGGGAGGCAGCAGUGGGGAAUAUUGCAGAAUGGGCGGAAGCCUGAUGCAGCAACGCCGCGUGCGGGAUGACGGCUUUCGGGUUGUAAACCGCUUUCGCCUGUGACGAAGCGUGAGUGACGGUAAUGGGUAAAGAAGCACCGGCUAACUACGUG